UGUGUACUCCCUCCGUCCGGAAAUACUUGUUCUAGAAAUGGAUGUAUCUAGACUUAUUUUAGUUAUAGAUACAUUCAUUUUCUUUAUUUUCAGGACAAGUAUUUCCGGACGGAGGGAGUACGUA
rnacentral:pre_miRNA from 1 species